rnacentral:rRNA from 1 species
UACAGAGGGGGCAAGCGUUGUUCGGAAUUACUGGGCGUAAAGGGCGCGUAGGCGGCCUUCUAAGUCGAACGUGAAAUCCCUGGGCUCAACCCGGGAACUGCGUCCGAUACUGGAAGGCUUGAAUCCGGGAGAGGGAUGCGGAAUUCCAGGUGUAGCGGUGAAAUGCGUAGAUAUCUGGAGGAACACCGGUGGCGAAGGCGGCAUCCUGGACCGGUAUUGACGCUGAGGCGCGAAAGCCAGGGGAGCAAACGGG